rnacentral:tRNA from 12 species
GUCGGGAUAGCUCAGCCG